rnacentral:tRNA from 1 species
AGACCCGUGGCUCAGUGGUAGAGCGUUAGGCUUAAAACCUAAUGAAAAAUUAUUGCAGGGUUUUAGGUCCA